AUAUAUAUAUAUAUAUGCACACACAGCCCUCAGAAGGGCUUAUACCUUCUGGGGUGUGUGUGUGUGUGUGUGUGUGUGUGU